rnacentral:tmRNA from 1 species
AGUCUUGAAAAUUUCUUUAUAAUCGACAUAAUGAAGUUGUCUUGUUUUCAGGACUAUGGUGAUAAACGCGCAUGGAAUAAACGGAUCGGACCCGGGGGCGGUACCCGGCGGCUCCACCACAAAUUUAUGGGGCCGAAAUAGGAUCGACGAACGUCAAAAGAUGUUAGCUUUUACUCGGCGGGACGGCCACCGAUAUCGGCGCAAAACGUAUAGUUGCAAAUGACAAUUAUGCUCCGGUAGCCGUUGCUGCGUAAGCAGUAACUAAACCGAAACUUAAGUCCAGUAUGAUAGCUCAUACUGGCGGGGUUCGCAGGCACCUGGCAACAGAAGCCUGCACU